UUUCAUAUACAGUUUUAUAUUCAACGAUUAACGUCAGCAGUUACAACGAAAACUUGCUAAUGAGUGUGUUUGUACGUUAUUUUUCAUUCCUAUACGAGGCGUGUUCAAAGGAAAAGGCCCCCUCGGAUAUAAUACAUUCGAAGCACUUCUGAAAUGCGCACUUCGCCCGCGAAAAAUCAAAAUUUACCUUUUCCUUUAAACACACCUCGUAGAUUAUUAUCUGACAUACAGUCCACAGAAUGGAGAAUCAACAUUGCAAUGAAUAAAGCCAACGCGUUAUCAUAAAUCAUCAAAGCAAUGAUCCUCCGAUUUCCUUAGAGCACUUAAAAAAUGAGAAAGAAAACACAAAUGAUGCCAAAAUAGCAUAAGUUGCAACUAUACUAUAUGUAUAUCUUCGUGAUUUCAAUAAGGAUAAAAAAUACUCUCGAUUCGAACAUAUUUACGGUGUUCGGUAGAAAAAUAGCUGUAUAAGUUCUCUGGUCAAAAACCAAUGCUAUAAGAUACACCUCACCUUAAACAUUGUUGAUUGAUUGAUUGAAAGAUAUGGAGCGAUGGGCCGAGAC